rnacentral:tRNA from 1 species
GGUCGCUGGUUCAAAUCCAGUCACCCCGAUUAUUAUUUAUCAUAAAUAAAAUUAGAAACUAUUUUAAUCGCCUUC